rnacentral:pre_miRNA from 1 species
CAUAUACCCCAUCCGUCCCAAAAUUCUUGUGUUAAAUCUGUCUAGAUAUGAAUGUAUCUAGUCAUGUUUUAGUAUUUAAAUACAUUUAUUUCUAGACAAACCUAAGACAAGAAUUUUGGGACGGAGGGAGUACUAU